UUGGAGGGCAAGUCUGGUGCCAGCAGCCGCGGUAAUUCCAGCUCCAAUAGCGUAUAUUAAAGUUGUUGCAGUUAAAAAGCUCGUAGUUGAAUUUCGAGAUCAAUUGUCGGUCGUGCCUCGGUACGUACUGGCAUUAUUGAUUUCUCCCUUCUGAAGAACCGCGAUGUCAUUAAUUUGGUGUCGUGGGGAAUCAGGACUGUUACUUUGAAAAAAUUAGAGUGUUUAAAGCAGGCGCACGCUUGAAUACAUUAGCAUGGAAUAAUGAAAUAGGACGUUUGAUUCUAUUUUGUUGGUUUCUAGGAUCGACGUAAUGAUUAAUAGGGAUAGUUGGGGGCAUUAGUAUUCAAUUGUCAGAGGUGAAAUUCUUGGAUUUAUUGAAGACUAACUAUUGCGAAAGCAUUUGCCAAGGAUGUUUUCAUUAAUCAAGAACGAAAGUUAGGGGAUCGAAGACGAUCAGAUACCGUCGUAGUCUUAACCAUAAACUAUGCCGACUAGGGAUCGGAUGAUGUUAAUUUUUUAAUGACUCAUUCGGCGCCUUACGGGAAAC
rnacentral:rRNA from 1 species